rnacentral:sRNA from 1 species
ACCCCUGCCAACCUAUCUAUUGCUGCAAGCUAUCCCUCGCUGCUAAGCUAUCCCUCGCUGCCAAUCUAUCCCUCGCUGCUAAGCUAUCCCUCGCUGCUAAUCUAUCCCUCGCUGCUAAGCUAUCGCCGCUGCCAAGCUAUCUCUCGCUGGCUAUCCCUCGCUGCUAAGCUAUCUCUCGCUGCUAAGCUAGCUAUCGCUGCUAAUCUAUCGCUGCUAAUCUAUCGCUGCCAACCUAUCUACCACUGCCAAUCUAUCUAGCAUGGUCACACAGCCAGUCUAGUUGAGAUCUAGCUAGCUCACAAUGUCAGAUAAUGCUUUGCUGUAGUUUCACAAGUUUUUUUGACUGCAAAUAUUCUUCUUUCUCUCUCUGCUCUGUGAUCUCAUGUGCUCUGUCAUCUUAUAGUUUCUCACUCUUCAUCUCUGCUCAACUAUAGUACUUUGUGAAUUUUACUUUUUUGUAGUUCUUUUUGUUUCUUGCAAAGGACUUUUGUGUUUCCAUACAGCAUAAAUAUUUUGUUGAUUACAUUUCAGAUGAGUCAACAAUUUUUCAUGAUAGAUCAGUUAUGAUUUGAUGAAAAAGUACACUCCUGGUGUUACCAUAGCCCCUGAGAGGCGUCUUGAGAAUGGCGAAAAUAAAUAAAUCUAAACGCAGCAAAAUGGAUGAUCAGGCCAAACAACUGAUGUCUGACCAGCGAUGUCUGAUGAUUGAAUACAAUCAACCACUAUCAUCGUGAGCUCUCUCGACGCUUUCAGCUUUAAUGGCUUACCGAUUUAAUUUGCUGUCUGUAGGCCAUAUGUAUCCCCAGUCGUCACCAUCACGAUAGGACACAAAAAUUAAGUUUUUCCAGCACAAGAAAGCUCGCAGUAUUCGAGACAUCUUUCAACCAAACACUCCAGAUUCUUAGCGCCACAAGUAGCUAAUGUCUCCGCCGCAGGCACAAUCAACCGAGAUAUAUCUUGAAUAAAUCUUGAUUCAUUUUUACUCUGUAGCUUUUGGCAAGCCUUCCGGAAUCGGUCAUUCUGAAAUAUCGUGCCUUCGGGAAUCGUUUGUUUCUCAUCAAGUAGCAUUUUGCAAAUCUCUUUGCUUCUUUCCGUUACUUCAAGUUC